rnacentral:rRNA from 1 species
GACUACCCGUGUAUCUAAUCCUGUUUGCUCCCCACGCUUUCGAGCCUCAACGUCAGUUACGGUCCAGUAAGCCGCCUUCGCCACCGGUGUUCCUCCUAAUAUCUACGCAUUUCACCGCUACACUAGGAAUUCCGCCUGCCCCUCCGACACUCCAGCCCGCCAGUUUCCAAUGCAGGCCCGGGGUUGGGCCCCGGGUUUUCACACCAGACUUGGCAGGCCGCCUGCGCUCCCUUUACACCCAGUAAAUCCGGAUAACGCUUGCCCCAUACGUAUUACCGCGGCUGCUGGCACGUAUUUAGCCGGGGCUUCCUCCCCAGGUACCGUCAUUUUCGUCCCUGGGGACAGUGGUUUACAAUCCAGAGGACCGUCUUCCCACACGCGGCGUCGCUGCAUCAGGGUUCCCCCCAUUGUGCAAUAUCCCCCACUGCUGCCUCCCGUAGG